rnacentral:rRNA from 2 species
UUUUUAUGUGGACCUCUGUCCUUGUGCCUUGUGUGCUUGGAUAGAACCACAUAAGCAGGUGAAACUUCUUAGAGGAACUGGCGCCCAAAAAGGCGCACGAGAAAGAGCAAUAACAGGUCUGUGAUGCCCUAAGAUGUCCGGGGCCGCACGCGUGCUACAAUGACGAUGCUACUGAGCAUGAUUAACUUGUCCGAAAGGACUGGUGAAACUGUUCAAUCAUCGUCGUGACUGGGAUUGGGGUUUGCAAUUGUCCCCCAUGAACCAGGAAUUCCUAGUAAGCACAAGUCAUAAGCUUGUGCUGAUUACGUCCCUGCCCUUUGUACACACCGCCCGUCGCUACUACCGAUUGAAUGGUUUAGCAAGGACAUUGGAUUGAGCCCUUGCGGUUUCGGCUGCUUGGGUUUGAGAAGAUGUCCGAACUUGAUCAUUUAGAGGAAGUAAAAGUCGUAACAAGGUUUCCGUAGGUGAACCUGCGGAAGGAUCAUUA